UACGUAGGGCGCAAGCGUUUGUCCGGAAUUAUUGGGCGUAAAGAGCUCGUAGGCGGCCUGUUGCGUCCGCUGUGAAAUCCCGGGGCUUAACCCCGGGCUUGCAGUGGAUACGGGCAGGCUGGAGGCAGGCAGGGGAGAACGGAAUUCCCGGUGUAGCGGUGAAAUGCGCAGAUAUCGGGAGGAACACCGGUGGCGAAGGCGGUUCUCUGGGCCUGUACUGACGCUGAGGAGCAAAAGCGUGGGGAGCGAACAGG
rnacentral:rRNA from 1 species